rnacentral:rRNA from 1 species
GGGAUGAGUUGUGGGUAGGGGUGAAAGGCCAAUCAAACUCCGUGAUAGCUGGUUCUCCCCGAAAUGCAUUUAGGUGCAGCGUCGCGUGUUUCACUCUGGAGGUAGAGCUACUGGAUGGCCGAUGGGCCCUACAAGGUUACUGACGUCAGCCAAACUCCGAAUGCCAGGGUGUGAGAGCGCGGCAGUGAGACUGCGGGGGAUAAGCUUCGUAGUCGAGAGGGAAACAGCCCAGAUCGCCGGCUAAGGCCCCUAAGCGUGUACUAAGUGGAAAAGGAUGUGGGAUCGCUGAGACAACCAGGAGGUUGGCUUAGAAGCAGCCACCCUUGAAAGAGUGCGUAAUAGCUCACUGGUCAAGUGGUCCUGCGCCGACAAUGUAGCGGGGCUCAAGUACACCGCCGAAGCCGCGGCAUUCGCAUAACACACGCAUUGUCCUGCGGGAUGGUGUGCAGUGGUGUGGAUGGGUAGGGGAGCGUCGUGUGGCCGUGGAAGCAGCAGUGUGAACUAGUUGUGGAGGCCAUGCGAGUGAGAAUGCAGGCAUGAGUAGCGAAAGACGAGUGAGAAACUCGUCCGCCGAAUGACCAAGGGUUCCUGGGCCAGGUUAAUCCGCCCAGGGUGAGUCGGGACCUAAGGCGAGGCCGACAGGCGUAGUCGAUGGACAACGGGUUGAUAUUCCCGUACCCGUGUGAACGCGCCCCUGAUGAAUCACUGGUACUAACCAUCCUGAAGAUUCCUUUUUCCCUUCGGGGGAUUGGGGGUUGGAUGCAUGGGACCUUCGGUGGUAGUAGUCAAGCGAUGGGGUGACGCAGGAAGGUAGCUGGGCCGGCUGGUGGAAUAGCCGGUGUAAGCCUGUAGGGCGAGUGGUAGGCAAAUCCGCCACUCAUAUGGCCUGAGAGGUGAUGCGUAGCCGUUGUGGUGAAUUCAGUGAUCCUAUGCUGCCGAGAAAAGCCUCUAGCGAGCUUUCACAUGGCCCGUACCCCAAACCGACACAGGUGGUCAGGUAGAGAAUACUGAGGCGAUCGAGAUAACUGUGGUUAAGGAACUCGGCAAAAUGCCCCCGUAACUUCGGGAGAAGGGGGACCUUGUCUGGUGAUGAGUCUUGCACUCUGAGCUGGGUGGGGUCGCAGAGACCAGAGAGAAGCGACUGUUUACUAAAAACACAGGUCCGUGCGAAGUCGUAAGACGAUGUAUACGGACUGACGCCUGCCC